AUAACGAACCCUCUAAGUACACAGCCGUUUGCAGUUUACAUUUUAAUGCUGAUGAUUACUCAAAAAGACCUGGCAUGUAUGUAAAACGUUUAAAACCAGAUGCAGUACCAACUAUAAUUGUAAAAGGAGCUGCACGUGUUAUGCCAAUAGUUAAACAAGAAAUAAAUGUUACAAACAUUGAUGGGCCAUCACCUAGUUCCAACAACAUAAUGGACCCAUUAGGAGCCAUUUGUAGCAGAUAACACAGAUGUAUUAACAGAUUGUAUUGUUUUGCCAAUUGAAUCAGCUGAAAAUAAGGAACAGCUUGAAGUAAAUUCUGAUGACGAACCACCCAAAAGGAGAAAUACCAGUGACACACCACAGAAGGAGAAACUCAAAUGUAUUGUGAAGAUCCUCCGGCAAAAAAUCUUGCAACAGGGAAAAAACGGCAGAAGUACUUGACAUACCGAGACUACAUCUCAGUACUGAUGCUAGAAAAAAAUGAUCAUGGGUACCAUCAACGGAGCCAAUAACGGAGGUUUAAUUAUUCCGUCUCAGAGCGUAAAUUCAAUUAUGUGACACACGAGACGCGACAAGGCAAGACGAAGACAAGACAAGGAGGAUACAUAGCUCGCACGAUCAAUAUGUAUAUACAAACGCGAUAGGGGUACCGUCGAGCACGGAGACGAGGGGGAACAAAACGCAAACCGUGAGCCACCUAUUUACGCCAUACAAAUGACUACGUUAUCGACGCUGAUCGAACAAAAUCCAUUGGUAAAGUUUUUAUUUAAAUUGCCUCGUACAGUCUCGCAGUUUUUUAUUAUGUAUAUCCCGUGCGCACGCCUGCUGUUUCAGUUGCUGACUUCUUUGGUUUUCGGGAAGUAUAUUAAUA